UAGAAGUUAGGUGGCUGGUACCGACUUCAAAAUUAUGAAGAUUGAGUAAAGAUAUAGUUGAGGCUUAGGCCAAUCCUA